GGGGAUGAUCGGUUUCGACGGCGGUAGUUAGUCGGAGGGAAGCGGGCCGAGGAUGUAGAGUCACCUCGAUAACGCUCUCUGCAAACCAAUAGGUGCCAAGAACAAGAGCACCGAUUUCGCCCUCGCUGCCUAAGCUAAGCGACCUGCGAAAUCUGCUGAACUAGGUGCGCUUUCCGCCUAGACCUCAGCAUCGUUGAGAAAGCCACUGGUGAGUACGUUUGCUACGGGCGUGCUCGCGACACCAACAUAGAUAGGUUCGUCAGGGCCUGGUUCGUGUGGAACCCUGGAGCCGAAAACAACUAUCAACGAACUGCGCCCGGAGAAUACUCCUUUGGCUAUCGUCGGACCCGGGUUCGAUUCCCGGCAUCUCCACCU
rfam:Actinotignum schaalii strain CCTG 27420 chromosome, complete genome.